GUCCACGCCGUAAACGAUGGAUGCUAGCCGUCGGCAAGCUUGCUUGUCGGUGGCGCAGCUAACGCAUUAAGCAUCCCGCCUGGGGAGUACGGCCGCAAGGUUAAAACUCAAAGGAAUUGACGGGGGCCCCGCACAAGCGGUGGAGCAUGUGGUUUAAUUCGACGCAACGCGAAGAACCUUACCAGCUCUUGACAUUCACUGAUCGCCUGGGGAGACCUGGGAGUCCUAGCAAUAGGCAGUGGGACAGGUGCUGCAUGGCUGUCGU
rnacentral:rRNA from 1 species